UACGUAGGGGGCGAGCGUUGUCCGGAUUUAUUGGGCGUAAAGCGCUCGCAGGCGGCUUGCCGCGUCGUGCGUGAAAGCCCCCGGCUCAACCGGGGGUGGUCGUGCGAUACGGGCAGGCUUGAGGUAGGUAGGGGGACGCGGAAUUCCGGGUGUAGUGGUGGAAUGCGUAGAGAUCCGGAGGAACACCAGCGGCGAAGGCGGCGUCCUGGACCUGGCCUGACGCUCAGGAGCGAAAGCGUGGGGAGCGAUCCGG
rnacentral:rRNA from 1 species